GACGAACGCUGGCGGCGUGCCUAAUACAUGCAAGUCGAACGGAGCGGCGGACGGGUGAGUAAUGCCUAGGAAUCUGCCUGGUAGUAGGGGAUAACGUCCGGAAACGGGCGCUAAUACCGCAUACUAUCAGAUGAGCCUAGGUCGGAUUAGCGUGUUGGUGGGGUAAAGGCCUACCAAGGCGACGAUCCGUAACUGUUCUGAGAGGAUGAUCAGUCACACUGAAACUGAGACACGGUCCAGACUCCUACGGGAGGCAGCAGUGGGGAAUAUGGGACAAUGGGCGAAAGCCUGAUCCAGUCAUGCCGCGUGUGUGAAGAAGGUCUUCGGAUUGUAAAGCACUUUAAGUUGGGAGGCGUUACCAACAGAAUAAGCACCGGCUAACUUCGUGCCAGCCGCCGCGGUAAUUC
rnacentral:rRNA from 1 species